rnacentral:rRNA from 1 species
UACGGAGGGUGCGAGCGUUGUCCGGAAUCACUGGGCGUAAAGGGCGCGUAGGCGGCCUGAUAAGUAGGGGGUGAAAUCCUGCGGCUUAACCGCAGGGCUGCCUUCUAAACUGUCAGGCUUGAGCACAGUAGAGGCAGGUGGAAUUCCCGUUGUAGCGGUGGAAUGCGUAGAGAUCGGGAAGAACAUCAGUGGCGAAGGCGGCCUGCUGGGCUGUUGCUUACGCUGAGGCGCGACAGCGUGGGGAGCAAACAGG